rnacentral:rRNA from 1 species
UACGAGGGACCUAGCGUUGUUCGGAAUUAUUGGGCGUAAAGGGUGUGUAGGUGGCUUUUUAAGUCAGUUGUGAAAUCCCCGGGCUCAACCCGGGAAGUGCUUCUGAUACUAUUAAGCUUGAGUACUGGAGAGGUGAGUGGAAUUCCUGGUGUAGUGGUGAAAUACGUAGAUAUCAGGAGGAACACCGGUGGCGAAGGCGGCUCACUGGCCAUGUACUGACACUGAAACACGAAAGCGUGGGGAUCAAACAGG